CUUGAGCAUCUUCCAUCACACUGGAGUCUAUCCACUGAAGACUAAGAAAAGAAUUCAUUCAGCUGAAGUAAUAUUUCUACAGAACAACAACAACAACAUAAUCUUUGGAAGGACCAAAUAACUGCUAAUAAAGACAAGAAGCCAAGAUUCAUAGAAAAGGAGAGAUGGAUUUCAAGAAGUAAUUUGUUCUUCUGUCCAAAUCACCUUCAGAUGUAACCUACAUAAUUCCAAAAGCACCUGAGUAAACCGUUCUUAAAAGAAUUUCUCAUGAUCAGAUCGCUUUGUCAAGCAGUUAAGCUAAUUUAUUUCCUGCAAACAACUCCUAAAACCUUUUUCAGAAUCCCUGUUUUCCAUGCUGUUGCAAUAUACCAUUUUUCUGCUGGGUAUCUUGAAGUCAUUUAAAUAGGCCAGAUAACCAAAUGACGCUAGAGCCCUCUAUAUCACUCUUCUGCCCUUAUCUUUACUUAGCAGACUGCCAGUCUUCGUCCAUACUCAAAAAUUACUUCAUACUUCCCUGCUACUCCUCAAUGAAAUAUGUAUAACAGUGUAGCCCCAAAACAGAAUCACUUCCAGAACAUCUACCUGAGAGCUACACCUUUUGCUAAUGAUUUUAUAUUGGUAGAUAUGUUCUAAGACUUGUCAGCCACUUUGUCCAUAUAUUGUAUUUUUGAUUAGUUUUGAUAUUUAAUGAAGCUUUGUGGUAAUUCUAUUUCAAACACAUUAAAAAAAAAAAUAGUAACAUCAUAGAUUAAUAGAAAGUACAGCUGGGGAAAAUACAAGGGAUGAACAAUUCUAUCUCAUACCCCAAGGCAGGACUGGCUGUAUCAAUAUCUUGUUCUAAGAAUAUUACAAUUUUAGAGAUAUCUUUAUCAUCCAGUCUUGCAAUCUUGUCAAAGACCAAAUUAAGUUUUGUGUGACAAGACCUCUUUUCCACAAAGCAAUGUUGAUUGACAUUAAUUACAUCCCUUUUUCUUACUUCCUUACCCAUUACAUUUAAAAACGUCUUUCAAUUUCAAGUGUUUAUAUUUGAACAUCCCUUCAGAUGUAGAAAUGAAGAAUCUUCAUUUUGCUCUGCAAGAAAUUUCAUCUACUCCCAGCUAGAUAUCAUCAGGUUUUUCAUCUUGAUCCAAAAUUACAGCUUGAUUCAAAGAUCAUUAAAAACAGUAGGAGUAAUUGCAAUUAUUUAAUAAGCCAGGUCUUUUCUAUUACUUAAAAAGGUUAAAAUAGUUGUCAGCUUCUUAAUCUAAGUAGAAGUCCCAAAUGGGUAGAUUUCAUUUUACAGAAACAAAACAUGACAUGGGAAAGUGGGGAACAGUUGUCUGUUUCAUAUUCACACGCCAACAUGUUGUUGGAGAAUUGGCCUCCCUCUUAUAGUAACAGCCUACAAAUCACCCCUGGCUGCUAGAAAAUGAGACAUGAGCAGAAAGUAAAGUUUGUGGGUAAGAAGAUCAAAGUCUCAGACAGAAAAAGAGCCCAUGAGAGACAACUGUAUGCCUAUGAUCUUGUUUUUGUUAUGUGAGUUUAUUUUCCUAGAGAUACUCACGUAGAAUAUGGACAGUGGAUUUUUUCUGAACUUCUUAUAUUAACUCUGAAACAACUUUCUGAAAAUACAUUUGUGUUAGAGACUAAGUAUUUCCCCCUCCCCUUCACAAAAUAUUCUUUUUUUGUUAGUUCUCACUAUUCAUUACAAAAAUUUUAACAUAAACUAGAGGACAUCUACUAAUAUACUUUUUUCUUUUUUUUUCUUUUGUAAUUCAGCUUAUUGAUCAGAUCAGAUUUUCAUGGGCAGUCAUAUUGUUCUCCAAGUCCCCAAAGUGACAAGCAUCUGAAUUAUUAUUACCCAUUUUCAGGUUUCGUAUAUGGGCUUGAAGAUUAAUGUGUUAUAUGUCAUAUAAAAACAGCAAGUAAAUUAAGUUUCUUCCAAGGGAAAAGAACGAAUUUUUAAGAAAGUAAAUUCUAAGUAGUACUACUUGUAUUAUUUUUGCUUCUCCUUUUCUGUUUUAUAUUUGAAAAUAUUUUUAACCAUAUUUUAUUAAUAUGAUUGGGUAAUCGAAGUCAAAAGGGAGAAAAAAGUCACUUGCUACACAAAGGCUGUAAGUUUAUUACUGAAAACUUAGCUCCUAAAAACUGUAAUCAAGAAGCAGUUGAUGUAAUCUUCCUGAGCCUUUUCAGCUGGCUGGAAGGUAUAUGGGUUUGUUAAUUGCAUGUAGUCUUUUCUGCACAGGAUACCAGAAUCUCCUUAGCUGUGAUUCUUGUGGAAGGGCAUUUUCCACUUUGUCACUCACCUUGUGUCACAGAAAGAAGAGACUGAAGCUGGUGUUUCCAAAGGGAGGCGGGUCUCCAGCUCCAUCUGUAUGUACACCCACAGGAAUUAAUGGGAUUAAACCCUGGCACUGUUGACAAACCCAUGGAGGACUAUUAAAUGCAGAAAUACACCUCUGGCACAGGAAGUCUCUCAACCACAAUUUCCUGGAGGCUGUGAGAGUAUUUUAGGAGGGAAUCAUCAUACAGUCAU